rnacentral:rRNA from 1 species
CUGCAAUGGGCGAAGCCUGACGGAGCACGCCGCGUGAGUGAUGAAGGUCUUCGGAUCGUAAAACUCUGUUAUCAGGGAAGAACAAAUGUGUAAGUAACUGUGCACAUCUUGACGGUACCUGAUCAGAAAGCCACGGCUAACUACGUGCCAGCAGCCGCGGUAAUACGUAGGUGGCAAGCGUUAUCCGGAAUUAUUGGGCGUAAAGCGCGCGUAGGCGGUUUUUUAAGUCUGAUGUGAAAGCCCACGGCUCAACCGUGGAGGGUCAUUGGAAACUGGAAAACUUGAGUGCAGAAGAGGAAAGUGGAAUUCCAUGUGUAGCGGUGAAAUGCGCAGAGAUAUGGAGGAACACCAGUGGCGAAGGCGACUUUCUGGUCUGUAACUGACGCUGAUGUGCGAAAGCGUGGGGAUCAAACAGGAUUAGAUACCCUGGUAGUCCACGCCGUAAACGAUGAGUGCUAAGUGUUAGGGGGUUUCCGCCCCUUAGUGCUGCAGCUAACGCAUUAAGCACUCCGCCUGGGGAGUACGACCGCAAGGUUGAAACUCAAAGGAAUUGACAGGGACCCGCACAAGCGGUGGAGCAUGUGGUUUAAUUCAAAGCAACGCUAAGAAACUUAAAAAAUCUUGACAUCCUUUGACCGCUCUAAAGAUAGAGUCUUCCCCUUCGGGGGACAAACUGACAGGGGCUGCAUGGGC